AUUUGGUAUAGAAUCUCUCCUCCUUUGGAUAGGCUUUAAGCAACCACCAGCCAUCUACUCCUUAUGCUGCCCAAAUUUUCUGAUUUUAUUAUGAUUUCCAUAGUAAAAGAAGGAAAGGAGGCAUGGUUAAUUAGAGAAGAAGAAUUUCUUCCUUCCUGGGUCCACAAAAUCUGCAAAACAAAGUAAGAUUUCGGCUGGCCAAAUCAAGUUUUUCAAGAAUUGGUUCCAAUUCUUUUUAAGUUUGCUCCUCAUACAGAAUUAGUUUAGACUCUGAUUUUUUUUCAUUUAAUUCUUUCCAAGAUAGCUCUUUGCCACCCAAAAUUGGUUGCCAUAUCAGAUCUUUGUGCCAAGAAAUACUAAGAAGAAUCUGGGUGUAUCGGGUGUUUCUUGUUGUGUCCAACAUUGUUACCAACUUCAACCUACUGUAGCCACCUCAUUUGAAAUCCAAAUUUAAUUCUAUAAAUUAUGUUCCUUUCUUGCUUCUCUCAAAAUUCUGUAGGAUCUAAUCUUGCUCAAUUUGGAGUCCUGUAGCUUGCCUUUUAGGGGUCCUCACACCAAAAUAUCCAGAAUUUAGAUUGGUUGACUAGAUGGGAG
rnacentral:lncRNA from 1 species